AACUGCCCUCAAGGAGCUUACAAUCUAGCUGGGGGUAGAUGACUUGAACUUGAACACAACUAGACUGUGAGCUUCUAGAGGGCAGGGA
rnacentral:pre_miRNA from 1 species